UACGUAGGGAGCAAGCGUUGUUCGGAGUUACUGGGCGUAAAGGGUGUGUAGGCGGUUUUUUAAGUUUGGUGUGAAAUCUCCCGGCUCAACUGGGAGGGUGCGCCGAAUACUGAAAGACUAGAGUGCGGGAGAGGAAAGUGGAAUUCCUGGUGUAGCGGUGAAAUGCGUAGAUAUCAGGAGGAACACCGGUGGUGUAGACGGCUUUCUGGACCGUAACUGACGCUGAGACACGAAAGCGUGGGUAGCAAACAGG
rnacentral:rRNA from 1 species